rnacentral:misc_RNA from 1 species
GAUGAAGAACGCAGCGAAAUGCGAUAAGUAGUGUGAAUUGCAGAAUUUAGUGAAUCAUCGAAUCUUUGAACGCACAUUGCGCCCUAUAGUAUUCUGUAGGGCAUGCCUGUUCGAGCGUUAUUGAGACCUCAAGCUCUGCUUGGAAAUGGGCGCUUGUCUUGCCUUGCAGACUCGCCUUAAAACCAUUGGCAGCUGAUUUACAAUGUUUGGUGCACAGUACAUGAGCUCAAGUGUUGCAAUGAGUGGCCCAAAAGUAUACAAUAGAAGCUUAACCUCGGAUCAGGUAGGGAUACCCGCUGAACUUAAGCAUAUCAAUAAGCGGAGGA